rnacentral:rRNA from 1 species
UGAGAGGGUGAACGGCCACAUUGGGACUGAGACACGGCCCAGACUCUUACGGGAGGCAGCAGUGGGGAAUAUUGCACAAUGGGCGAAACCCUGAUGCAGCGACGCCGCGUGAAGGAAGAAGUAUUUCGGUAUGUAAAGCUCUAUCAGCAGGAAGAUAAUGACGGUACCUGACUAAGAAGCUCCGGCUAAAUACGUGCCAGCAGC